rnacentral:misc_RNA from 1 species
GUGAGAAAUCUUGGACCAAUAUUCCCCUUCUACCCGUUGACAUCUUUGUGUCAACAAGGGGCAAUCCCAUAUUAUUAGAGAAGAAAGGGAGGCAGGCAGCCCUUCUUCUGGCAUGGACUGGAGCUCAGGGCACUUCCAGAUAGUCAAUUCUCCAAGGGAGGUGAGAUGUUGAAGCCCCUUGUAGUUUAGAGAUUUCAGAUUCUUAAGAUUCUUCAUUUUAAGAGAGGUAAGUGUGGAGGGCAGCAACAUUUCCUCAGGGAAAGAUUCUACAUCUUCACAUCGAUCAAUGCUGAAGUAUGCUAGAUGAGGAAGUGUUUGCAUCUUCCAUUGUGGGCGGCUAGCUAUGAGUUUUUCACAGAAUGAGAUCUCAAGGUAUUCUAAUUUGAAGGGCAAACCCCCUUCUGGAAAGGACUCAAGUUUUGGACAUUCACCCAGUCGUAAUUUUACUAGAGAUGCUAGGAUGGAAUGCAUAUUAUCAGGCAAGCACUUCAAAUUGAAGCAAUUCCAUAAACAAAGCACUGUCAAACUUAGGGCAGGUAAUCCUCUAGAUAAUGAAAAGGACUCAAGAUUUCUACAUCUCCCAAGGUCAAGUCUCUUUAACUUGGGGAAAAGAUCUAACGAGAAACACCUUAGUGAAUGGUAGUCUUUUAUUUCAAUUUCUUCUGAAGUGAUAGAAAGACUGUAAGCUUCUGUUGCUCCCUCCACCAGGGAAUCUACGGAGUCAAACAUGGCGUCAGCUUGGAGACGGUGCAGCCCAGAAGGCAAUUCACUUAACACCACAUGACGAGAAUGGUCCUCAAAACUCAUUCUACAGAUAGCUGGAGCCCUUGGAAAUGAGGGGAGAAGCUGAUAACAUUCCUUAAUAUCUAAUGUCUUUAAAAAAGGAAGGUGAUCAGGCAAGGCCUUUGUUAGGUUGGGGCAUUCUCUUAUGUAAAGCUCUUGG